UGCAUUAGUGUUGGUAUGAUCG
rnacentral:snRNA from 1 species